rnacentral:lncRNA from 1 species
UUUAUUUCUUUGUCUAAAUAGUCAUAUUAAUUAAUUAGGUUUUUCUAUUUUUCAUUUCGAUUUUAUUUAGUUUAACUAAGUCUUGUUUGAAUUUAUUUUUUUACUUUUUAAACUUUCAUACUUAUUUUUAUUAUACAAUUGUCUACAAUGAUUUAUUUUAAAUUUUGUAAAAAGCUACUACACAUGAGUGUUCCUAAAGAAGAAAACGUAGAUCCAGGGAAAAUUUGACACAUGGCACGCAAGUGUGUGGCUAUGAAAAUUUCUUGUUUUAUUAUUAUUAUUAUUUCUUUCUUUUCAUUAUUUAUGGAAAAGGGAGUAGUAACCAUAAAAAGAAGAAGGAAAAAAGGGAUGUAUAAAAUAAAGAAAGAAUAGAAACUGAGAAAGUUGGUUUUGAGAAAUACUAUCUCCCUCUCAUAAAACUCUGUCCAUUCAUCACACUUUCACCUUCCAUACUACAAGCUUUCAAAACAUAAUUUCUUCCUCUCAAAAACAUCUCACCAUUAUCUAAAAAAAAUUACAUCUUAACUCCUUAUGCUAAAACACACACACAACAUUAAUCUUCUUCACCAUUCAAAUCACUCCAACUACACACAUAACCAACACCACACUAAAAUCAAACCUUCAUAAUUUAUCACAAAAAACAUAUUUUCAUCUUCUACAAAUCUCACACAACAAUGUCUCCAUUAUCACUUAACCUUCCAUCAACCCAUCCCAAAACAACUUAACUCUCAUUUCUUAUCCCUCUCCACACCGUGAA